rnacentral:sRNA from 1 species
CAACCCUCAAGCUCUGCUUGGAAUUGGGCACCGUCCUCACUGCGGACGCGCCUCAAAGACCUCGGCGGUGGCUGUUCAGCCCUCAAGCGUAGUAGAAU